AUUGAACGCUGGCGGCAGGCUUAACACAUGUAAGUCGAGCGAGCGGCGGACGGGUGAGUAAUGUCUGGGAAACUGCCUGAUGGAGGGGGAUAACUACUGGAAACGGUAGCUACUACCGUAUACCAUCAGAUGUGCCCAGAUGGGAUGAGCUAGUGGGGGGGGUAAUGGCGCACCUAGGCGGCGAUCCCUAGCUGGUCUGAGAGGAUGACCAGCCACACUGGAACUGAGACACGGUCCAGACUCAUACGGGAGGCAGCAGUGGGGAAUAUUGCACAAUGGGCGCAAGCCUGAUACAGCCAUGCCGCAAGUGUGAAGAAGGCCUUCGGGUUGUAGAGCACUUUCAGCGGGGAGGCGUUACUCACAGAAUAAGCACCGGCUAACUCCGUGCCAGCAGCCGCGGUAAUAC
rnacentral:rRNA from 1 species